GAGCUUUGUCACUGUCCCCAGACCUUCUGGACAAGACCUGAGUGAGGACUAUUUUGCACUGGGAGAAGGUCAAAGUCCAGAGCAGUGCAUUCAGUAUCCGCCCCUUUCCUUCAGGGCGCAUUGUUAUUAAGAAAAGAUUUACUGAGAGAACAGAGCAAAGAUGAACUUAAUGAAAUCAAUCCAUCUGAAACCAUGGAAAAUUUCUUCACUGAAGAGAGUAUGCAUGAUUCACAUUGCCAUUGCCAAUUCCCAUUGU